rnacentral:rRNA from 1 species
GAUGAACGCUGGCGGCGUGCCUAAUACAUGCAAGUCGAGCGAACGGACGAGAAGCUUGCUUUUCUGAUGUUAGCGGCGGACGGGUGAGUAACACGUGGAUAACCUACCUAUAAGACUGGGAUAACUUCGGGAAACCGGAGCUAAUACCGGAUAAUAUUUUGAACCGCAUGGUUCGAAAGUGAAAGACGGUCUUGCUGUCACUUAUAGAUGGAUCCGCGCUGCAUUAGCUAGUUGGUAAGGUAACGGCUUACCAAGGCAACGAUGCAUAGCCGACCUGAGAGGGUGAUCGGCCACACUGGAACUGAGCCACGGUCCAGACUCCUACGGGAGGCAGCAGUAGGGAAUCUUCCGCAAUGGGCGAAAGCCUGACGGAGCAACGCCGCGUGAGUGAUGAAGGUCUUCGGAUCGUAAAACUCUGUUAUUAGGGAAGAACAUAUGUGUAAGUAACUGUGCACAUCUUGACGGUACCUAAUCAGAAAGCCACGGCUAACUACGUG